AUUUAACUCUUAGAUGACUGAGAUUAAGUGUUAGAUUUUUAAUCUAACGACGGCAUAAGAAUGAUGCCU
rnacentral:tRNA from 1 species